GCAUUAAUGGGGUAGUGGUAACCUAGGUCGUUGCCACUGUAACAGCACAGGUCUGCAUCGUCGACCCGCCGGGGGUUCGAUUCCCCCUUAAUGCA